GCUGGCAAGGAAGAUGUGCUGUCUAACAGCUCUCCAAGAAAAGGAGAAGAGCCCCAGCAUGGGGAACUUGCAUUUUCCAGUAGGCAAAACUCCAGAAGGCGUCCUGCUGAGGACAGCCCCGUCCUGCAAACCCACAGCAAUGGGCAGGACGGCCGCCGCAGCUCGUCUGCCACUUGUCAUCCGCAAUUCCUCCCAUUUUCACACAUACUCCAGACUUGUAACACCGGCUCUGAAAGCAAUAAGAAGUUGCAAGAUUAAUUGCUUUGGAAGCACAAAAGGAACAGAAAACGCCUGAAGGCACUGGGACAGAUAAUAUGUUGCAUUCAUAAAGGUUUUAAUAAUUUAUUACCAGCAGCUGUAUAAAGUUAUUCUGUCCCCAUCCACUCCUCCUGUCCAAGGAUGGCUGGAGGCAGCUUGAUUUCUGCUCAAGGAGCUCAAAUCAAAGGACUUCUUGAGUCCUUCUAGGUGGAGUCAUAUUUUAUUAACCAAAGAAACGUGUUUAUUGGUGAGAAAUGAAGUGCUUCCCCUUUGCUUGGGGUUCAUAAAGAGCUCCAGAUUAAUACCCUGGAAACUGCAGAUUGCAUCCUCCUUGGUGCUCAUAGUAGGAGUUAAAGCAUGGAUCUGCAAUGAAGCACAUAUUUGAGUGACCUCCUGAAGCUGAGCCCAACAGAGCAGGCACACUGCAGGACUUCUGUGCUAUGGGGGCUCCUGUUCUUGGGUGCUCAGAAGGACAUCUGCCUGUCUGCAGUUACCCCUUUGCGCAUGAAUCCACAGGCCUGCAAUGGGGCCCUGGGUUUCUUCCAUGCAAUCCUCUUCUAAAACUUGUGAGCUCGAGUUGCAAAUUAAUUCAGCCAAAUCCUAUGGCCUGAAUUCUUUUGGGCGUCCAGUUACACAGAUGCAAUUACCCAUUUCAGCCUCAAAAUCUGUGCGUAAAGCCAACAAGAACCAUUCUUUUGUCUAUUGAAGAUGAACUGAACCCACUUCAUCUCGAAGAAGCCAGGAAUUACAUGAAUGAUUUAUGAAGCCAGACAGGUCACAGAGGAAAAAAAAUAGGAUUUUUUUUUCCCCUAAUCCCACUUGACAGCAGAGGAGGCAGAGAGAUUCUCUCUGCAAAGGGAGGCUGAGGGCUCUGGGAGGGUUGGGUUUGCUUUGGAGCUGGAGUUGGGUCAGCAUCACUUGUCGUCACUGCCUGUGCUGAGCUACAGAUGACUCAGGAGCGCGGCUGAAGGGGGGGAAAUCCAGACAGAUCAACAGAAGAAAAAUCAAUAGCAUUUCUUCUAUGGAGAGAAACCUAAAGGAAAAAAUAUCCUUAGACGUUGCAGCUAUGUCUCAGCCCCAUUAAGCAUCAACUCCCUGCACUGAUACUCUUCGUGUUUAAGUGCAGAGCAGGACCGAAGGGUUAUCCCUUCCUUGGCUGCUCUACUCCAGAGCUGGGAAAAAAAUGGAGCCUUGUGCUGCCACACAGAGGGAUUCUGAGAAUAAAAUAAAGGUGGAAAAAUUACCAUCAAUACACAUGAACUGGUGCGGCAGAGCUGAUUGUGGAGCUGUCUGCUCUGAGUCCCUCGGGGAUGUUGGGCUUACCAGUUAGGUUGGCUGCAGACCUGCUCUCCGUUCCAGAGACGCCUCAUUUCCAUGGAAAUAACAUGUUCAUUGCAAAAGUUCUGCUUUUGCUGCUCCCGGGCUCCUCCUGAGACACUUCUCUGACCUCUCCAGGUCUCAUCUUUCUUUUGCUGCAAUUAAUAUCCUCAUUCAUAUCCUUGUGGUCUUGGCAAGUUGAAGGGCAGCAUAAAGACCUCAGCAUUAAAUAUUUCAUUACCAGGCAGUGCAGGAUAUUAACGGGGAUGGUUAAUAGUAAAUGACCUUUUCGUGAUGGAAAAUGAACUAAUCUACGACACGUUGCUUUGCUUGUUUCCAUGACGGAAGGGCAAAGUCAGGGUGAUGUCUCUCCAGCCUGCAUGCAAUUCAUCCAUUUCAUCUUUUCAUUGAAACAGAGGUCAGUCCUCCUUAAGGACAUAGUGGGGAUGUCUUAAGGGUUGGACUUGGUGAUCUCAGUGGUCUAUUUCCAACCAUAAUGAUUCUCUGAUUCUUUGAUUCCUUUAACCUUCCCCUUUUGUUGUCCAGGUCUGAAAAUUCCCUCAGCAUCAAAGAAUCAUCAUAGCAUGGCCUGGGUUGGAAAGGACCUCAAAGAUCAUCUAGUUUCAACCUCCCUGCCACAGGUGGGGUUGCCAACCAGCAGCAUCCACCACGCUGAUACAGGAAGGGGAUGGUGCCAAAGAUGGUUUUGUUCUUGCCUGCUUGACUUUCACAACCCAAAUCCAUUCCCUUUGCAAGUGAGAAGGUUAGAUCUUCAUUAAAGCUUUGCUAUUGGCCACCAGCUCCAACCCUGUGCCCAAACACAGUGUGAUAGCCACCCAUCUCUGAUCCUACCAGGACAUCCACAACUGAGACAACUUUGUAUAUAGUCAUUGAGUCACCGAUGAUGAAGGUUGGAAGAGACCUCCAAGACCACCAACCUCCACCUGUCCCCACCAAGCCCACUGCCCAUCGUCCACCACCACCAUCGAGCACAGCAACGCAGAGAGAAUGCCUUACAUGCACAGAGCGAUGGUUGCUGUGGUUUUCACCUAAAUACGUCACCCACCUCUUCAGCUCUUUGCUUCUCUGUCACUUCUGAUAUUCCUGCCUCCUCUGGAAGGGCUGGACCUCUUGGAAUUCCUUCUUAGCCACCUGCCCAUCUUCAGACCAUCCCUCCUCCGGUCUCAUUUGGCACAAUAUGGUUGUGACGUCCGCAGAGCCCUGUCCUUGACUGAGACCUCCUGCUCCCAGCAGAGCAGCACAGUGAGGCUCCUCAUGCCUGGAAAGCCAAUGAGCAACACCAAUAUGGAAAGGAGUUGAAUUUUGGUUUGCAUUGGCUGCAGUAAUCCCAGUAAGUAGAUUUGAUGGGCAGAUCUCAACCCAGCCAUUGCUGGGCCAUCGCAGAAUCAUAGAAUCAAUAAGUUUGGAGCACCCCUGAGGAUGUGAGCUUUAGUUCUUCCUAUCAAGUAUGCCUCCAACAUCCUCCUUUUCCCCUUCAUUAUCCUUUUUUCUUUACCCAUCACUGCUUUCUCAGUUUCCCCUCUUUCCCAUUCACAGCCACGCAAGAUUGCAUUUCUAUCUAUCUUUUUCUUUCCCCCUUUGCAUACCUUUACAUUCGUGAAGGAGGAGGGUGUUUGUUGGGUUGAUUAAUUUCUCUAGACCUCUAAGAUCUCCAACCCCCCCCCACCCCCAUGCCCACAUUUCCAUGGUUCUUAAACACCUCCAGGGAUGGUGGCACAGUUUCCAAAGGAUGAAUAUAAGAAACCCAAUUUUCCAUCCCCCUCCCCAGACCAUCGUUAUGUCUCUAUUAGAUGAAGCAUCCCUCUUUGUUUCCAGCCCUAAAUGACUGAGUAGUGCUCUGCACAGAUACAGCCUGAUGUGUAAAUGGGAUGCAGUCACUGGUGGGUUAUGGGGUGGAGGGGGGUGCAUGAUUUCAGCAUGAAAUGAUGCCACACUUCCAAAUCACGUUGCUGCUCUGAAUCAGAGAAAACAUUGCAACCUUUCCUGGUGAACAUCACUGAAAAUCCCCCGAACCUUCUGGUCAGCCAAAAUGUUCUGCUUCUAUUUAGACUCUUCUUUUACAUCCACAAGGCACUGACAUAAAAAAAAAAUAAAGAAAUGAAAAAAAGGAAAAGGCUUCA